rnacentral:rRNA from 1 species
AUGAAGAACGCAGCGAAAUGCGAUACGUAGUGUGAAUUGCAGAAUUCCGCGAAUCAUCGAGUMUUUGAACGCAAGUUGCGCCCGAGGCUUGCCCUCGGGCAUUUCUGUCAGAGCGUCAC